UAACAAUGGAGUUCAUUAGAAGAUGAAAGCUUAUGAUGAAGAUGCCAAAUAUAUUUUAUUUAUUAACAAAUCAAUUACAAUACUUGGUUGCUCAACCAUCAACAGCUUGAUGAUUGGCUUUUUGAGAUACAUUUUUCAAUAAUAUAUUAAUUAGUGGUUAAUUUCUAAAUGCUCCCGAUCUAUAAAUCGUCAUGGAGGAUAGUGAUCAAUUCAUUUG
rnacentral:lncRNA from 1 species